UAGAGACCGGCGCACGGGUGCGUAACGCGUAUGCAAUCUACCUUUCACAGAGGGAUAGCCCAGAGAAAUUUGGAUUAAUACCUCAUAGUAUAGCAGUUUCGCAUGAAACCACUAUUAAAGUCACAACGGUGAAAGAUGAGCAUGCGUCCCAUUAGCUAGUUGGUAAGGUAACGGCUUACCAAGGCAACGAUGGGUAGGGGUCCUGAGAGGGAGAUCCCCCACACUGGUACUGAGACACGGACCAGACUCCUACGGGAGGCAGCAGUGAGGAAUAUUGGACAAUGGGCGCAAGCCUGAUCCAGCCAUGCCGCGUGCAGGAUGACGGUCCUAUGGAUUGUAAACUGCUUUUAUACGAGAAGAAACCCUCCGACGUGUCGGAGCUUGACGGUAUCGUAAGAAUAAGGAUCGGCUAACUCCGUGCCAGCAGCCGCGGUAAUACGGAGGAUCCAAGCGUUAUCCGGAAUCAUUGGGUUUAAAGGGUCCGUAGGCGGUCAGGUAAGUCAGUGGUGAAAGCCCAUCGCUCAACGGUGGAACGGCCAUUGAUACUGUCUGACUUGAAUUAUUAGGAAGUAACUAGAAUAUGUAGUGUAGCGGUGAAAUGCUUAGAGAUUACAUGGAAUACCAAUUGCGAAGGCAGGUUACUACUAAUGGAUUGACGCUGAUGGACG
rnacentral:rRNA from 1 species